rnacentral:rRNA from 1 species
AUCACGGUGGGGGAUGGUGCCAAAACUCUCUUCUGGCGUGACCGUUGGCUGCAUGGAGCAUCCAUUCUGGAUAUUGCACCCCUGAUACAUGGCAUGGUGGACUUGAGAAGAAGAAACCGUCGUACGGUGCAGCAAGCCUUGAAUAACAACAGUUGGAUCCAGAACUUGGAGGGAGAGCUCACUUUUACUGGACACAUCCAAUUCAUAAACCUUUGCCAGGCUAUCGCAAUGUUCCCACGGGACUCUCACACCCCAGACAAAUUCACAUGGCCUGCGGACGCUUCAGGGCAGUACACGGCUCGAUCGGUAUACAACCGGCUUUGCCAAGGUCUGGAGAGGGUGCCUUACGUUGUUUGCAUAUGGAGGAGUGUGGCGCCGCUGAAAUGCAAAAUCCAUGUCUGGCUUGCUAUCUACCAUCGGAUUUGGACGUCGGACCGGUGA